rnacentral:rRNA from 1 species
UACGUAGGGUGCAAGCGUUGUCCGGAAUUAUUGGGCGUAAAGAGUUCGUAGGCGGCAUUGCAAGUAGGGUGUGAAAGCCCUCGGCUCAACCGAGGAAUUGCGCUCUAAACUGCAGUGCUCGAGGAAGCUAGAGGUGAGCAGAACAGAUGGUGGAGCGGUGAAAUGCGUUGAUAUCAUCUGGAAUACCGGAGGCGAAGGCGGCUCACUGGCCCGGUACUGACGCUGAGGUGCGAAAGCGUGGGGAGCAAACAGG